GUGGGGAAUUUUGGACAAUGGGCGAAAGCCUGAUCCAGCCAUGCCGCGUGAACGAUGAAGGCCUUCGGGUUGUAAAGUUCUUUAGCCGAUGAUUAUAAUGACUGUAGUCGGAAAAUAAGCCCCGGCUAACUUCGUGCCAGCAGCCGCGGUAAUACGAAGGGGGCGAGCGUUAUUCGGAAUCACUGGGCGUAAAGCGUGCGUAGGCGGUUUUGUAAGUUAGGAGUGAAAGCCCAGGGCUCAACCUUGGAAUUGCUCUUAAAACUGCAAGGCUCGAAUCUCGGAGAGGAUAGCGGAAUUUCCAGUGUAGCAGUGAAAUGCGUAGAUAUUGGAAGGAACACCAGUGGCGUAAGCGGCUAUCUGGACGAGUAUUGACGCUGAGGCACGAAAGCGUGGGGAUCAAACAGGAUUAGAAACCCCAGUAGUCC
rnacentral:rRNA from 1 species